rnacentral:tRNA from 1 species
AAAGAAUUAGUUAAUUAUAUGUAUAACAUAAAUAUGUCAAAUUUAAAUUAUUACUCAAGUAAUAUUCUUUU